AAAUUGAAGAGUUUGAUCAUGGCUCAGAUUGAACGCUGGCGGCAGGCCUAACACAUGCAAGUCGAGCGGAAACGACACUAACAAUCCUUCGGGUGCGUUAAUGGGCGUCGAGCGGCGGACGGGUGAGUAAUGCCUAGGAAAUUGCCUUGAUGUGGGGGAUAACCAUUGGAAACGAUGGCUAA
rnacentral:rRNA from 1 species